rnacentral:rRNA from 1 species
GACAGAGGAUGCAAGCGUUAUCCGGAAUGAUUGGGCGUAAAGGGUGCGUAGGCGGCAAAUCAAGUUAGAUGCGAAAUACCUGGGCUCAACCCAGGAACUGCAUUUAAUACUGCUUUGCUCGAGUAUUAGAGAAGAAGCUGGAAUUUACGGUGUAGCAGUGAAAUGCGUAGAUAUCGUAAAGAACGUCAGUGGCGAAAGCGAGCUUCUAGAUAAUUACUGACGCUGAGGCACGAAAGCUAGGGGAGCAAACGGG